ensembl:lncRNA
CAGAAACAUCCGUCAGUUCAUGACCUAUUUCCAGGAAACUCUGCCCAAUGAGUGCCGACUGAGCAGGGGCCAGAUAGUCCGUCAUACGGGCUUUGAAAGCCUCCACAGCGAACAUGAACACACCGGUGGUCCUCCACCAACUAAAGGUCAAGUCGGACAAAAUGUCCCGGCUGCGUACCUGUCAGCAGAGGGCCAAAGCCACCAUCCCGAAGCUCCUGGCUGUCAUGGAGCAGGGUAAAAGCCCCUGGCUGCGGUACGCCUUUUUCGGACACUUCUCUGCCCUUCCCGCAUCCAUCUACGGUCACCGGCCGGGCGUCUUCACCAACAUGUCUGACCGAGGUGCUUGUCAUUGUCCACCAGUAUUAUUGAAGGCAAUCCUGGAUGGAGCGCUCCCCCGAGGAAGAGAGCAGAGAGACUCUGGAUCACGAAAUUGGACACCGUACAUCCCAGGGGGCUUAAUGGAGGGGUGAGAGGUGCAGACGAUGGGGCAGUGCACAGAUGGCCCUGCUCUUCGAGCAGGAAGGUGUUUAACCAUGAGUCACCGUGUUACGUGCUGCACUCUAUGCGAUGGAGUGUUUGCAGCUCUGCCGCAGCACCUCAAGAGCUCACAAGGUGGUGAACGCGGAGGAGAGGGGGCUGCUGUUGUCCCCGGCGAGUGGAAGGAUUAACAUUAACCGAGAACACUGUCCGGUGGUGGGCUGCGACUACCAAUGCAAUCGACUGAAUCACCACAUGUCUGAGACCCAUUCCGACCUGAGUGUCUACGAGUCAGACACACUGUGUGAGGCCCUAGAGAGGUGCGUGGCGCUGAGGGGACUGGCAAUGUUACGAGCCUCCGAGCCGAACACUGCCAUGGUGUCGAGGCGGCCUCUGGAGACGCAUCUGCCUGCUAGUGCUUGCACCAUGAGGAGCUGCCACGUCGCACUUGUCCGCAUAGACGCUCCAGCACCAGGGCUCCAAUCCCACGGCCAAGUGGAAGAACAGUGGGAUGAGCCUGCCACUUUCUAACCUAGAUGGGCUCCAUCUCUAGAAUUACCGGGACAACCCAAAGUCUCCUCUUCCCCCAAACAAAGGGAUUUCCUUUAAGCCACAAUCUUUACAAGUUGGGGGGGUGUCAGUUAGAAACAUAUUAGAGAAUACCACAAA